GACGAACGCUGGCGGCGUGCUUAACACAUGCAAGUCGAACGGAAAGGCCUCUUUCGGGGGGUACUCGAGUGGCGAACGGGUGAGUAACACGUGAGUAACCUGCCCUUGACUUUGGGAUAACUUCAGGAAACUGGGGCUAAUACCGGAUAGGAGCUCCUGCUGCAUGGUGGGGGUUGGAAAGUUUCGGCGGUUGGGGAUGGACUCGCGGCUUAUCAGCUUGUUGGUGGGGUAGUGGCUUACCAAGGCUUUGACGGGUAGCCGGCCUGAGAGGGUGACCGGCCGCAUUGGGACUGAGGUACGGCCCAGACGCCUACGGGAGGCAGCAGUGGGGAAUAUUGCACAAUGGGUGGAAGCCUGAUGCAGCAACGCCGUGUGCGGGAUGACGGCCUUCGGGUUGUAAACCGCUUUCGCUCAUGACGAAGCUUUGUGUGACGGUAGUGGGUAAAGAAGCACCGGCUAACUACGUG
rnacentral:rRNA from 1 species